rfam:Equus caballus chromosome 4, whole genome shotgun sequence.
GGGGGCGUGGCUCAAGGCUAGAGCCCUUGGCUGCAGGUCCAGAUGUCCCCGGUUCAAUCCCAGGUGCCCCCU